UCUGAAGGAUGUAGGCUUUGUACUGCCCGGCCUAACAACACUGCCGUAAUUAUACUCUACCCUCCCCCAGGAUCUGUUUCCCCUUUCCGUAGCCAUUGGUGAGCUUUGCACCUCCUGCUGACAAGGUUGCCGUAAUGGGAGCAGAUGGACUGGGAGGCAGCAUCUUAUGGUGACCCAGGGGGAAAGGAAGGGCAGCAACAUGUGUUUCAGCAGAGAACAAAGGCAAAACUGUAUCACAGGUCCAGGUGGGAGGCAUCAAUGAAACGUUUCCUCACUGCAGAUGGAAAAAAAGGACUUCUGCAAGUUCAACAACAGUGACCUUCAUGGCACCUCUACAGUGUGAGAGAGAUGUGAAACAGACAAUUCCAUUUUAUUUCCGCCAGGUGUGAUAUUUAUGGAAUGAGGAGUCCACAUUCAUCUACAUUUUAAGCAUUGUCUCUCUGAUGAAAUAUUGGGACUAUGGAAGCAUUUGCACAAAUCAUUUGUCAACAGGGCCAAUGUAAAAUAAAUCUAAAUUAAAGCGUAUGCACUAUGUGGAUGGAAACAAUAUCUAAAAAUAUAACCAUACUGUACAUUUGGGCAAAGAGAAAGUCUUUAAGUGGUACAAAUGUACCAGAUGUGCAAACAUGCAUAAUUAAGGCUUUAGCUAAAGAUGGGAAUGACUCACCUGCUGAUUAAUCAUAUGCUGCCUGAACCGUGUAGCCAGAUUUGUAAAUGUGUUCACUUGCUGGUGGGUCAGAAUGCAACUCUGGAAACAUGCGAGGAAGAAAGGCUAAAUUAAAGCGCUGAUGUUGAAGUGGCCUGUUGUGUUACCUUCACAUAGGAAAUACUUGACUGACAGAAGGUGCUCUCUGUGCCUAACUAGUAACAUGACUAUUUCCAGAUGGUCUGCAGGCCUGAUGUAUCUAGUGCCAGAGAACCACAGGCAAAAAACUUACAGCUUGUUAAAAUUAAUUUGCACAAUGAGAUAAUUAAUUUGUUUAGAAUGUGCCAAUAUGGAUGUAGAGGCUGUGAUUGUAUGAUUCAAAGGAACCAUAUAUGGAACACAGCUUUUCAUUUAUGUGCCAUUAAACUCACAAAUAAAUACUGUUCUGCUGAU